GCGCCAGUAGCUCAGCUGGAUAGAGCAACUGCCUUCUAAGCAGUAGGUCCUCGGUUCGAGUCCGAGCUGGCGCAC
rnacentral:tRNA from 1 species